rnacentral:rRNA from 1 species
GACGAACGCUGGCGGCGUGCUUAACACAUGCAAGUCGAACGGAAAGGCCCUGCUUUUGUGGGGUGCUCGAGUGGCGAACGGGUGAGUAACACGUGAGUAACCUGCCCUUGACUUUGGGAUAACUUCAGGAAACUGGGGCUAAUACCGGAUAGGAGCUCCUGCUGCAUGGUGGGGGUUGGAAAGUUUCGGCGGUUGGGGAUGGACUCGCGGCUUAUCAGCUUGUUGGUGGGGUAGUGGCUUACCAAGGCUUUGGCGGGUAGCCGGCCUGAGAGGGUGACCGGCCACAUUGGGACUGAGAUACGGCCCAGACUCUUACGGGAGGCAGCAGUGGGGAAUAUUGCACAAUGGGCGGAAGCCUGAUGCAGCAACGCCGCGUGCGGGAUGACGGCCUUCGGGUUGUAAACCGCUUUCGCCUGUGACGAAGCGUGAGUGACGGUAAUGGGUAAAGAAGCACCGGCUAACUACGUG